UACGUAGGUGGCAGGCGUUGUCCGGAUUUACUGGGCGUAAAGAGCUCGUAGGCGGUUUGUCGCGUCUGCCGUGAAAGUCCGGGGCUCAACUCCGGAUCUGCGGUGGGUACGGGCAGACUAGAGUGAUGUAGGGGAGACUGGAAUUCCUGGUGUAGCGGUGAAAUGCGCAGAUAUCAGGAGGAACACCGAUGGCGAAGGCGGCUACCUGGACCGGUUCUGACGCUGAGGCGCGAAAGCGUGGGUAGCAAACAGG
rnacentral:rRNA from 1 species